UUCCACGGAGAGUUUGAUCCUGGCUCAGGAUGAACGCUGGCGGCGUGCUUAACACAUGCAAGUCGAACGAUUAAAGCCCCUUCGGGG
rnacentral:rRNA from 1 species